rnacentral:lncRNA from 1 species
UGGGAAUUCAAAUAUUCAAUGUUGACAUUGUACAGAAUUGGCAAGAAGCCAGAACCCAGUCUCCAGAGGGACCCAUUGGACAAGGAAUUCAGGACUUUCUCUCCUCCCACUUGAGCUAAAUAGGUAGAAGCCAUUAGUUAUACCCACAGCAAUAUCUGAACCACACUCAAAUAAGCUGCCCCAGCCAGGGCACUUCAAAGGAGGCUAAGUGUGUUUAGCUUUUUAGUGCUGAACUAGAGCAAUAUGUCACACUUUUGAAAGAGUCUUGUAAACAGUUUCUUCCCUAUGUAGAGACAUCUCUGAAGUUUCUUGUAUGGCUUGUAGUAAGCAAAGGUAAUUAACAAGGAUUAUACUUUUUUCAUUUCCUGGAGGGGCUGGGGAGGAUAAUACCAAUCUGUGUGCAAACUAAGGAUCUGGAAGAACUACACUAUUUCUCCCUUCCUGUCUCCCUCUCUGGUUUUCUGAUCGAUUUGUCUGUCUCCUCUUUAUCCUCUUCCUUACACUUGUUCUCACUAUACAGCCAAUUUCCUUGAAAAUUCCCUGGUAAACUCUGAAGGCCAGAAGAGUGGGAAGGGGGAAAUCUAAUUUUAGAAAGAAGACCGUGGCUAGUGGAGUGGGGAAGUCGGGAGGGAACUAAUGAUUUAUCCUGCGCCGUCCAGGAGAAAAGAAAAGCAGACCCCACAGACCGUUUUAGAAAAUGCCUAGACAGCGGCUUCCAGCGGAAGAAGGGUUAACCGUCACUCCAAAAAAAUGUACCUGGCAUCAUCAGAGUGUAACUUUUCCCUCCCACCCCAUCUCUUCCCCAAACUCACUCUCCCUUGCCCUAUGAGGCUAGGAAGGAGCCUGUCCCAACAGGGAGAGUGAAUGAGUGAGUGUGUGCCUGCCCUCCGCGCAAGAGUGCUCCUUGUCUUCCUGAAGCCAAGACGUGUGUGGGUGUGCACACGCAUGUGUGGGUGUGAGUUUACACUGUCAAUGUAAACCCAGCUCCGAGGGAAGCAGCGCGCCAGGCACGCAGCCCCUCUGAGACUAGAGAGGGAAAGAAGAGUUCUGGCCAAACCUUGGAGCCCUGAGCUGAGCAGCCUGAGGAGCGAGGUGUAGGGGGCCCCCUGAGUGAGAAACUGCCUCCCACCUCACUGGGGCUUCCCCAGUCCCACCCCCACGUCCAUCUUGGGCCACUUCCUCAGCACCAGACGGUUUUGAGAUGAAGCGUGGGAGGGCUCAGCUCUUGGGAACAGGGCUCUGGGUGCCUUGGGAACAGGGAAAAAGCCGGUGACCAGGAGAUGACAAGUCAAGGUUCUCCAUCUCACCGCCCGCUUCCAGCGGAGGCAACGCGCAGGGGGGUGCCGGGAGAGAGGGGGCCGAGCCGGGCGUGCCGGGGGCAACUCCGCUCUCUUGUCCUUCUAGCCCGGGGAGGAGGGCGUCCCCCCUUCCUGCCCCAGGUCACAACUGCAGCCUCGGAUAACCUGGCCCCAACUUACAAAAAUAAAAUAAACUCCCAAACAGUAACAUGCUUAAAGAGAAAUUGCUUACGACUCCUCACCUUCAACUCCAAAAAAAAAAAAAAAAAAAGAAAGAGAAAGAAAGAAAGAAACCAAAAUUCGUGGAAUGACAUGUUAAUUUCUAGUCCUACAUGUUGAAUGUCUGUCCCUGCAGGAAGCCGGCCCCAGGGCCCAGGGGAGGCCUUGGCUCAGAAAGCCUGGGAGCUGGGCUAGCCGGCAAAAGUCACACUCACUCACAUUCACACACACACUCACAUGCACUCUAUAGCCAAGACCUGCAACUCUGCAGUCCCUACAAAUAAAAAAAGAAGCCUUGCUUUUUAGCCUUUCUGCCUCUACAGCUAAUGAACCGUUCCCUUCCACAGUGCUGGAGAUGAGGGAAGAAUGAAAAGCGUAAUUAACCUUCCCCUAAACACAGAUUUUUUUUUUUUUUUUUUUUUUUUUUUUUUUUUGCAAAACACAUCAAAAUACUGCAAGAAGACUGUGCUCCAAGUGCCAAAUGCAAUAAAGAAGCCCUAAGCCCGGGUAAUGGUCAAGUAAUAGCAAAUAAACCGCCUUCCUAGAAGGGGCCUCGGCCUCCGUUGGGAGAAGGAUUUUCCUCCUCAGAAGCAAUCUGAAAUAAACAAAUAAAAGUAUUUUUUAAAACAAAGCUCUGUUUUCAUCUGAGUUUCUUAAGGAUGAAGGAAAACCCAAGUAGGUGGGCAUACAGAGAGUAAAUGCCUGAAUCUGGGUGUUGUGUUUGUUGUUGUGGGGGGGUUGUUUUGUUGUGUUUAUCUCAGUUACUGGGCUGACAAGGUGAGUAGUUUAAGGACGGGAGAAAGGGUCGGCAUCUACCUUUCCUACUUCAGAGCCUUUUUUUAAACAGAGAGCAAGUGUAGGAGUAACAAGUGCCCCCCUUGCCGCGGUCUUGCUAAUCGCAUCGCCUUUUGAGACUUUACGAGACUUCUGGGGGGCCGGUAGCUAAGGGAGUUACUGGAUGCAACUCGUUCUCUGCUGUGACUGAAUUCCCGCGCGUUGUCACUUUGGGGAAGUAAGAUUGUAACUGAAGAAUUGCAACGCAGCGCUUCUGUCUGGGAAAGGCAGCUGCGGCAGCAACAGCUGGAGUAGUGCAAGCGGGAAUCUGAGGCUCAGUAAAAGUUUGUAAGAGUUGAGAUCUAGCUAUCAGAAAGCGGCAGCGGCAUCCUUAGAGACCCUGGGGACAAAAUAAAUGGGUCUCCCACCAGUUGAAUGACAAGUAUCAUCAGAUCGGAAACGAGGCUCAGUUUCUGGAUGCUGAGUGGACUGUGCGUGCGGGAAUAUUUUAAGACGGCAUCGUAUGUCUUGCUUGGCAAUUAAAAUAGUUGAAAAAGUUGCUCAAGAAAAUUCGAAGGGUUUUGUGUUCUGCUUUCACUUCAGAAGUUAUCGGGCAGUGAGUUGCGGCGCGAAGCCUUAAGCUUUCACUUCACAACUUAGGCAUGGUUGAAAAGGGCUACCCACCCCCACCCACCAUCCCACUCCCGCCAACUCCCCCCCCCACACACACACUCUCUCUCUCUCCCAACCUUUAGUCCAAAUCGAAGCCCGCAAACCUCAAGUAUAUGUACAUUUAUUUCCCUUCAGAUGAAAAUAAAGACAUCGGCCUCAUUUAAAAGCAAACAGGGAAAACAGUUCCACCGGCGCCCUUUGACACUGUAGCAGCGAGUGUAAAGAACAACACCCAAAAGAGAAACAGAUGGACUGAUGACCCAAAGAGCCCUAUAUUUAGGUUGAUUUCUCAGACCCAGGGGAAAGGAAAUGUAUCGGGGAGUGUACGAGUGCUUGGGUGAGGACUGCACAAAGCACUGGAAAGGCGCCUGGGAUGACAGCAUCUCGCGGGGCUACACCGCCGACUCCAAUGCCCGCGAAGCCGAGCCUGCUGAGGUGCCGCCGACUUCCCGGGCUGCUGCAGGGACGCAGUGAGCAAGGAGGCGUGGAUACGAUACCUACCGUAUUUGGUUCUAAUGUGCGAGGGUCGCGCGGGGGGAGACUGGGAUUUCACUGGGGAGAAGCAUCCCACCCAUCUCCGAUCUCUCAUUUCUGCGUUCCGUAAACAACACAAUUAGAGAGUUUUGUUUUCGGCGAGUGCGAGUGUGGGAGAGAGAACCGCGGCCUGUCCACUCCCGAGGCAGCUCCAGCCCCGCCUAUUGACACCUCAAGGAAGAGCGCUCCCAGCCGCUCCGGGGCUCAGUGUCCCUGAGUCCCCUUCAACUCGAAGUAGAAGCAUUUGGACAAACGCAGUCCUGUCGUCUACAGUCCUGGCGGAGCAUCACACCGUGUGGGAAAGUGUGGGCCCCGCCGGCAAAGCCAGGCGAGUCAUCCAACACUUUUGCUGUAAGAGUGGGGGAUGGGACUCCCACCGCCCCCUCCCCAAACCCCUUAGCCCACAUCCCGCCAGACCAAGGCCGCUCCGCGCCGGGCAGGCAGGGGGCGCCGGGGAGGGUUAUUGACCCUGGACCCAGGCUGCACCCAGACGAAGCGCCGGAGGCUGCGCUGCGCCCUCUCCGCGGCCCAACGCUCUGGCAGCCCGCCCCCUGGGGUUUGCUCGGCGCCCAGCAAGCCCGAGGUGCGCGGGUCGCAGCGCGCCCUCUCUGCCUCCUGCUCCUAGGCUGCCGCCGCUGGCUGUGUGCCCUCCACUCCCGGCUCUCCGAGCGCUCGCUGGGCCUCUUCUCUCCCCACGUCCGAGCGCUCGCUGGGCCUCUUUCCUCCCCACCUGCGCGUGGCUGUGCGGAGCCGGUAGCUCUGCUCUGCCCGUGCCCCCGCCCCCACCCCGCGAUCACAGCCCCCACCUUGGUGUCCCCUACUCCCCGCCGCAGUCCUCCCGCCGCGCAGCGCCGCGCCGGAGAGCAUGGCCGAGCGCACAGCGCCCACUACCGCAGCCGCGGCUCGGCGCAGUCCACCCGCC